rnacentral:rRNA from 1 species
GACGAACGCUGGCGGCGUGCUUAACACAUGCAAGUCGAACGGAAAGGCCCUGCUUUUGUGGGGUGCUCGAGUGGCGAACGGGUGAGUAACACGUGAGUAACCUGCCCUUGACUUUGGGAUAACUUCAGGAAACUGGGGCUAAUACCGGAUAGGAGCUCCUGCUGCAUGGUGAGGGUUGGAAAGUUUCGGCGGUUGGGGAUGGACUCGCCGCUUAUCAGCUUGUUGGUGGGGUAGUGGAUUACCAAGGCUUUGACGGGUAGCCGGCCUGAGAGGGUGAACGGCCACAUUGGGACUGAGAUACGGCCCAGACUCGUACGGGAGGCAGCAGUGGGGAAUAUGGCACAAUGGGAGGCAGCCUGAUGCAGCAACGCCGCGUGCGGGAUGACGGCCUUCGGGUAGUAAACCGCUUUCGCCUGUGACGAAGCGUGAGUGACGGUAAUGGGUAAAGAAGCACCGGCUAACUACGUG